rnacentral:lncRNA from 1 species
CUUUGCCUGGGCAUGCCCACAGCAGACCGGGGGCCCACCUGCGUACCGGGAGAGUGGGGUGGAGCCACCGGGAAUUCACGCCUGAUGCCCGGGGAGGAGUCUGGCCUCUUCAGCUCCUGUGUGGUGGCCUGAUAUUCAGUCUGUGAGCUGGGAGCCUGUUGGCAGGUCCCUCUUUUUAUUUUCGCUGAGAGCUUUCUUUUACUAAAUGCCACCAUCCUUACCUUUCAAGGUGUCUGCGUGCCUAAUUUUUCCUGGUUGUUAGACAAGAACCCGGAUUUUAGUUGAACUCUGGAGCAAAAAUCCUGCAUCAUUUGUAGGUGGGUGUCAUUGUGACUGGCUGCUACCUCCCCAUGAGUCUUCUAAAAUAAAACCUGCAAAUUCACAUCUUCCCCAUGCUUCCAGAGAAUGCAUAUUCUUCCUUUGAAAAAAGAAAACCAGCUGUCACAGAGGUCAUAGAAUUGGGCUUAUUGAGAAGGAAAGGUAAAUGCUAGUACACUACUUGGCUCAGAAGUGAACAAAAUUGCAGUUUGCUCAAACAACUCCAUAGGAAAAAGUCUAAUAAUCUGAUGUAAAAAUGGGCAGAAGAUUUGAAUAGAUAUUUCUCAAAAGAAGACAUACGAAUGGCAAACAGACAUAUGAAAAUGUACUCAAAAUCAUUGAUCAUCAGAGAAAUGUAAAUCAAAACUGCAAUGAGAUAUCAUCCGACUCCAGUUAAAAUGGCUUUUAUCCAAAAGUCAGGCAAUAAAAAAUGCUGGUAAGGAUGUAGAGAAAAGGGAACCCUUGUACACUGUUAGUGGGAAUGUAAAUUAAUACAAUCACUAUGGAGAACAGUUUGGAGGAUCCUCAAAAAACUAAAAAUAGAGCUACCAUAUGAUUCAGCAAUCUCACUGCUAGGUAUAUACCCAAAAGUAUAUUGAAGAGACAUCUGCACUCCCAUGUUUGUUGCAGCACUGUUCAUAAUAGCCAAGAUUUGGAAGCCACCUAAGUGUCCAUCAACAGAUGAAUGGAGAAACUGUGGUACAUAUACACAACGGAGUGCUAUUCAGCCAUAAAAAAGAAUGAUACUCUGUCAUCUGCAACAACAUGAAUGGAACUGGAGAUCAUUAUGUUGUUAAAUAAGCCAGACACAGAAAGACAAACAUCACAUAUUUUCACUUAUUUUGGGGAUAUAAAAGUCAAAACAAACUCAUGGAGAUAGAGAACAGAUAGACGGUUACCAGAGGCUAGGAGGAGGAGUGGUGGGGGGCAGUUAGUGAUGGUUAAUUGGUACAAAAAAAUGGUUAGAAAUAAUAAAUAAGACCUAGUAUUAGAUAGGACAACAGGAGGACUAUAGUCAAAAAUAAUUUAUUUGUACAUUUCAAAGUAACUAAAAGAGUGUAAUUGUAUUAUUUGUAGCACAUAGGAUAAAUGCUUGAGGUGACGGAUACCCCAUUUACCCUGAUGUGAUUAUUACACAUCGUAUGCCUGUACCAAAAGAUCUCAUGUACCUCAUAAAUACAUACACCUACUAUAUACCCACACAAAUUAAAAAUUAAAAAAAUUUAAAGAAAUUACAGUUUGUUGGUUUUGAAUAUUUGACCAAAUUUUUUACUAAGCACAGAUAGAUUGAAUAUAAUUUUAUUGUCCUUUUGACAUUAUGAUAAUGAAGGUAUCUACACAGAAGUCUGAGAUGAGAAAAAAAUGAUAUAAUAUCCACCUACUACAUAGUGGGUAGUUUAUAUACUAAAGUUAUUGUUAUGAGAAAGAAUGGCUUAGGAAUAUUAUUUAAAAUUAAUUAAGGGGUGUUAAAAAUAAAAUACCAAGUGUAAAAAUGACAAAGGCAAGAAGAAACAGUAUAUAAUGUGAGUAAAUCUUAAUCUUUCCAAGAGAGGAGACAGUACAUAAUGUCUAAAAUUGUUAAACCAUGAAAUAGAAAUAUAGUUAUUUUAUUCAUAAUUAAGGAGAUAACUACUAUAGCACGAAAUCGUGCCAAAAAUGGUUGCCUCUGGGAAAUGUGAUUAUAGAUAUUAUAAUAUUUUGGACUGUAAAAAUCUGCUUUUAAGACUGAGGAAAUACAAAUAGGACAAUAUUUAUUUGAAAUUUGUAUCCUCAGGGAGUGUAAAGAAAUUAAUGUAUCCACAAAAUAAUAAUAGCUGCUAUUUGAAAACAUAGUUUUCUUGAAAGUUAAAAUAGUAAUAGUCUUCUAAAAAUUUUGUUAGUUUUGGUUUUCUCUUUAAUCUGAGUUAUGUAGAAAAGUGCUUAUUUCAAAUUAGGUAGGCUUGUUUUAUUCCUUUUUCUGUCUUUUUUCUAUCAACUAGUGUUUUAUUGUGUUCAGAAAAUGCCAUGCAUUAAAAGACUACUUUUGAGAAUUUCUAGAGAUUUUCUUUGUUACUAAAGAGAUUUUUGUAAUUGUUACAUGGGAUUUUAAAAAGAAUGUAAAUUAUCCUUUUUGUCAAGUAUAAUGAUUUCUGAAACCUAGCUGUGUCAGAAUACUGUAUAAUACUGUAAUAGUAUGUUGUUUUUGGCUAUGUGUACUUAUUUCUUAGAGUGGUAUGUUAAAGCCUCGACCUUGUGACUUUGUUUAUUUCUCUCUCUACAUCUAAACAUUUCCAAGACAUGUUAUUUGCAAUACCAAGACCAUAACUAUUAUGUAUUUAAUCAAAAUAAAAUAUUUCGGCUCUCUAUAAUUCACCUUGAACUUUAUUUUGUUAAAUAUAAAUGUUGUUGAUUAUACAACAUUUCAUUAUCAAUCCCUAGACACAUUUCUAAUCCACUAUAAUUGUUUUAAAAUAAAAGGAGAAGGGAAGGUUGUA